GUUGGUGCAUUGUGGGUUUCUUCCUCACAGAUUCCUUUGGGGUUAGAUUUAUUUUCAUUCUUUCUGUGUUUAGAAACUGAGGAGGAAGAGCUGCUGGUCUGACAGGUGUUUGUGAUACUGGUUUCUUGGCUGAAGGAGCUGUUGUCAUUGCUGUGCCGACGGUGCACAGGCUCAUCCAACAGGGGGGAUAAUGGAGGAGGGAAGAGCUUCUCUUCUCUUUUCUUUGCCAUCUUCUUCACCAAGUUACUGCUGCUCUCUUUAGUGCUGGUUAAUCUGUGGUUUGGUAUUGGAGAGAUACAAGGUGGGAGCAAGCACGAAGCUGAAGGGUCCUCCAGGCGCUGCUUCUUGGUUUCAACAAAGGUUUCCAGGUUUUCCGACUUGUGUUUCCUCUUGGAUUUUGCAGAUGUUUUUUCAGCUGCUGGGGUAGGGGACUCUCGAGAUGGUCGUCUGUGUUUCACAUUUGCCUCUCUUGGUUCAGUUUUCA
rnacentral:lncRNA from 1 species